AGAGCAAAGGGCCUUGGUGAUAUUUUAGAUUUGCAGGGAGAGGGAAGGAAUGAAAAAAGGCAGGGAGGCUCCUUGGAGGAAGUGACAUUCACUGAGACCUGAAAGGUGAGUAGGUUGGAUCAGUUUAAAAAAAAAAAAAAAGGGGCAGGAAGUGUUCCAGGCAGAAGGAACAGAAUGAGCAAGGUCCAGAGGUGAGAACUAGAAUGGUCCCUGGAAUAUAGAUAUGGGACGAGAAAUGAGGCUGAAGAGGUAAGCAGGUGCCUGAACCUAUGGAUUAUAAAAAGCUUAGUUCAGAGGAUGUUUAGACUGGGUGCAGUGACUCAUGCCUGUAAUCACAGCACUUUGGGAGGCUGAGGCACAAGGAUCACUUGAGCCCAGGAGUUUGAGACUAGCCUGGACAACAUGGUGAAACGCCAUCUCUCCAAAAAAAAAAAAAAAGAAAGAAAGAAAGAAAAAAUUAGCUGGGUGCGGUGGCACAUGCCUGUGGUCCCAGCUACUUGGGAGGAUGAAGUUGGCAGGAUGGCUUGAACCCAGGGGAUUGAGGCUGCAGUGAGCUGUGUUUGUGUGACUGUACUCCAGCCUGGGUGACAGAGUGAGACCCUGUCUCAAAAAAAUAAAUAAGAUAAAAUAAAAUAAAAUAAAAAGCGUAGACUUGAUCUCAAGGCAACCAGGAAGAGGAUGAAGGUAGUGG
rnacentral:lncRNA from 1 species